ACUCUCCCCGCCACUCUGCUUCCCACUCACUCCCUCAGCAGCCUCCUGACAUCUCCACCCCUCUUCUCCAAACCACCCUCCCCACUGCAGCAGUCAGAGAAAUGUAAGCCUGAUGCACCAUUAUUCUGCCUGAAACCCUUCCGUGGUCCCCAGUGUCAUCAGGAUAAAGUCCAGACUCGCGGGUAUGACAUAGCAUCUGGCCUUUCCUUACCUCUAUGCAUGUUACUCACCCUACUUCCACCCCACCUGCCAACUUGCCAUAAUUAGGCUUCUGAAAUACUAUCCCCCAGCUCAUGAGCACAUGAAAUACUCCUCCUCCGUGAACCGCCCCCCCUUCUUCAGCACUAGGCACCCACUCCAGCGGCAGUGUUUACAGGUGUGUCUCUACUCCAAGCCCCAGGCUGCCAGGGUGAAGGGUGGCUGGAGCAGGGUCAGACUUGAAAGCCCCAGCACAGGGCCUGGCCCACCCAAGGAGUUCCGCGGGUCUGCUGAAGGAAGAAACUAGCAGUGGGCCAGAGAGCAGAGAGCAGUCACUGCAGGGUGGCCGGCCAGGGCCCUGAGACGGCGCCAACUGGAGGGCCGGUGGCCCAAGGCUGGGACUAUCCUGUCUCCUCCCUCUCCCGCCCUCGGCCCGGCCUCCCAACUCCCUACUUCGCGUGUCUGUAAACUGAACGCCCACUUUCCUCGCCUCUCCGCCGCUCAAGUUCUCCACGCUGUGUCCUGGGUUUCCCACUUCCCAGUGUCCUCCCCUUCACCUUGGGGGACAUAGCUGAGCCAGGGGGGGACCGGAUCCCAGCGGGUGGAGCAACCAGGUGAACCCUGAAAGGUAGGGCGGGGCGGGGGCAGUUGGGCCCCACCCCGGGAUCCGGUGACGCCGGGACUGGAAUUUGACACCGGUCGGCGGCAGGCAUGAGGCUGCUGAGGGAUGGAGUUGGGCCCGGCCCCCAGACACGGCCCACGGGCUCCACGAGCAGCAGGUCCCUCGGGCCCCAGCCCUCGCUGCAUCCUGGACCCAGAGCCCUGCACUUGAGCUGCCUCCAGAAGAGGGUGGGGGAACAAGUCGACUAGGCUGAUGGGAGAUCCUGGUAUUGACAGAGAUGGAGCCUGGACGUGGAGGCCCUUCUGUGCUGCCCCGCUGGCCCCCGCCCAGGCGGCAGCCUGCCCUGUGGCCAGCGCUGGCCACUCUGGUGCUGCUGAGCAGUGUUGCUGAGGCCUCC